CAGCCGCCGCGGUAAUACGAAGGGUGCAAGCGUUAAUCGGAAUUACUGGGCGUAAAGCGUGCGUAGGCGGUUUGUUAAGUCUGCUGUGAAAUCCCCGGGCUCAACCUGGGAAUGGCAGUGGAUACUGGCAAGCUAGAGUGUGUUAGAGGAUGGUGGAAUUCCCGGUGUAGCGGUGAAAUGCGUAGAGAUCGGGAGGAACAUCAGUGGCGAAGGCGGCCAUCUGGGACAACACUGACGCUGAGGCACGAAAGCGUGGGGAGCAAACAGGAUUAGAUACCCGUGUAGUCCCUGUCUCUUAUAC
rnacentral:rRNA from 1 species